AGGACGAACGCUGGCGGCGUGCUUAACACAUGCAAGUCGAGCGGAAAGGCCCUUCGGGGUACUCGAGCGGCGAACGGGUGAGUAACACGUGAGCAACCUGCCCCUGGCUCUGGGAUAGCCUCCGGAAACGGGGAUUAAUACCGGACAUGACCCUUGACCGCAUGGUUGGGGGUGGAAAGUUUUUCGGCCAGGGUGGGGCUCGCGGCCUAUCAGCUUGUUGGGGGGGUGACGGCCCACCAAGGCGACGACGGGUAG
rnacentral:rRNA from 1 species